CCAAUAGCGUAUAUUAAAGUUGUUGCAGUUAAAAAGCUCGUAGUUGAAUUUCGGGAUCAGUAGGUCGGUCGUGCCACUGGUAUGAACUGGUCUCACUGGUUCCUCCCUCUUGAAGAACUGCAAUGCUAUUAAUUUAGUGUUGUAGGAAAUCAGGACUGUUACUUUGAAAAAAUUAGAGGGUUUAAAGCAGGCUUUGGCUUGAAUACAUUAGCAUGGAAUAAUGAAAUAGGACGUUCGAUCCUAUUUUGUUGGCUUCUAGGAUUGACGUAAUGAUUAAUAGGGACAGUUGGGGGCAUUAGUAUUCAAUUGGCAGAGGUGAAAUUCUUGGAUUUAUUGAAGACUAACUACUGCGAAAGCAUUUUCCAAGGAUGUUUUCAUUAAUCAAGAACGAAAGUUAGGGGAUCGAAGACGAUCAGAUACCGUCGUAGUCUUAACCAUAAACUAUGCCGACUAGGGAUCGGAUGAUGUUAAUUUUUUAAUGACUCAUUCGGCGCCUUACG
rnacentral:misc_RNA from 1 species